UUACCUAAACCCUUGUCAUUUUUAGUUAGCCUAACGUUACACGUUUAUUUCAAGAAGCUAAAAAGAAGAAAGGUGGUUUAUCGCGUUGUCCAGGCCUGCGCAAUUCUCCGCCGGGAGAUGUUCAUCUAUUUCAGAGAGCACUUUUAAAGUUUUACCACCACCUUAUCAGAGUGCUGAAAAGUGGAAGUCAGAGGAAACAUGACCAACUUGCUGCAAAACAAUAACACAAAAGGUCUGGACUAUGGAGUGCAGCAUUACUUGUUUGGUCAUCUACAUUCAGAUGAAAACACCACACUCCUCUCUAAUUCAAGAUGUCAAGCCUACUCAUCGCAAGGAGAGUUAGCAUCAAAAUGGAUGUGUCACUGACCAAUAACACAGAGAUGCCAGAAGUAUCUGUUUGCUGUCUACUUUUUGUUAAGUACUAUGGAGCAUCCAAAAGCCAUCACUCAGUUAAUUUCAAUCAGCACUAUUUAGCCCUUCCCAGUGCUGAAAUUGU